rnacentral:rRNA from 1 species
UACGGAGGAUGCGAGCGUUAUCCGGAUUUAUUGGGUUUAAAGGGUGCGUAGGCGGUCGGAUAAGUUAGAGGUGAAAUCCCGAGGCUCAACUUCGGAAUUGCCUCUGAUACUGUUCGGCUAGAGAGUAGUUGCGGUAGGCGGAAUGUAUGGUGUAGCGGUGAAAUGCAUAGAUAUCACGCAGAACUCCGAUUGCGAAGGCAGCAUACCGGCGCCCGACUGACGCUGAGGAACGAAAGCCAGGGUAGCAAAUGGG